UCCCUUCGGCUCCCGGCUUCCCUUUCCUCCGCGGCCCCUGCGGGGGCUGGAGUGUCCGGGCCGAGCUCCGGGCACGCGUUGUGGACUUUGGACAGAUGCAGCGUCAGGAUGACUUGAAAGUCGGGCAUCCUUGGCCCUCCUGAAUAGAGGAAAUUAGUGGCAGGUGGACAGUCUGUAUGGAAUUUUCAGGUGCCUUCACCAGAGAAACCUGUCUCCAUCGGAACCUCAAAUGUCAAACCUUUACCAUACAUCCUUCAUCUUUUAGAGGACUAAGGUGACUUCAAUAGUUCUCCUCUUUUAAUGGACACCUAAGGAAGAGGUCCUAAGAGCAGCAGUCUUGAAUUCCAGCAGCGCCUGAUCACAGCCUCGGUCCUUCAUAGUGAAAUAGAAAUGGCUUCGCCUGGCCGGAGUGGCUUAGGACCGAAAGUUUGCUGGCUCAAUUCCUGAUCAGGAUUUUUUAUGUAAAUAUUCUUCAGGAUGUGUGGCACCAUAGAAUAUUGACAUUUGCUGUACAUUGACUAUGUUCCAGAACUGCUUAUAAACUCAUUCUGCACAUCUCUUAAUCUUCUCAACAGCCCCACAAAGUAACACAGUUAGUGGACCCAGGAACUAAUGUGGUGUUCAGCAAUUCUCCCCAAAGAUGGCAGUGGUUUAGGGCUUUCAUGUAUAGUGCUCCCAAGUCUUUACAACUAACUCUCAUAAAUAUCUACUUGUCUUU